rfam:Asian citrus Psyllid, Diaphorina citri - Florida Strain, whole genome shotgun sequence.
ACCAGUAAUGAGAGCCCGUUGAUUGCACCAGUUCUCAAUGGAUCACUGAAGUUAAGCAAAGUUGCGCUUGGUUUAUAUCCUGAUGGGUGACCAUACCACUGAAAAUUUGGUCAUUCGCGUGUU